AACGAACGCUGGCGGCAGGCUUAACACAUGCAAGUCGAACGCAUCCUUCGGGGUGAGUGGCAGACGGGUGAGUAACGCGUGGGAACGUGCCCUUCAGUUCGGGAUAACCCAGGGAAACUUGUGCUAAUACCGGAUACGUGCGCGAGCAGAAAGAUUUAUCGCUGAAGGAUCGGCCCGCGUCUGAUUAGCUAGUUGGUGGGGUAAUGGCCCACCAAGGCGACGAUCAGUAGCUGGUCUGAGAGGAUGAGCAGCCACAUUGGGACUGAGACACGGCCCAAACUCCUACGGGAGGCAGCAGUGGGGAAUAUUGGACAAUGGGCGCAAGCCUGAUCCAGCCAUGCCGCGUGAGUGAUGAAGGCCUUAGGGUUGUAAAGCUCUUUCGUCCGGGACGAUAAUGACGGUACCGGAAGAAGAAGCCCCGGCUAACUUCGUGCCAGCAGCCGCGGUAA
rnacentral:rRNA from 1 species